rnacentral:snRNA from 13 species
AAACUUGCGCAGUGGAAAUAUCGUAAUCAAUGAAGUUCUACUGAGAUGCGAUUAUUGCUAGUUGAAACUAUUACUCGUUUCCAUGCGUCGAGGAAUUGAACUAAAUGACAUAACGACCAUCUUUAACGACGUGUGAGGGGUUGUUUUGAAUCAAAAACAAGA